rnacentral:rRNA from 1 species
GUAGGGGCUAGCGUUGCUCGGAUUUACUGGGCGUAAAGAGCGCGUAGGCGGCCAGGUAAGUCCGGUGUGAAAGCCCUCGGCUCAACCGAGGAUCCGCAUCGGAAACUACCUGGCUUGAGUCCAGGAGAGGAGGGUGGAAUUCCCGAUGUAGCGGUGAAAUGCGUAGAUAUCGGGAGGAACACCUGUGGCGAAGGCGGCCCUCUGGAAUGGUACUGACGCUGAGGCGCGAAAGCUGGGGGAGCGAACGGGAUUAGAUACCCCGGUAGUCCCAGCUGUAAACGAUGGGCACUAGGUGUGGGAGGUAUUGACCCCCCUUCCGUGCCGCAGCUAACGCAUUAAGUGCCCCGCCUGGGGAGUACGGCCGCAAGGUUG